ACGGAAGGCAGCAGUGAGGAAUAUUGGUCAAUGGACGAGAGUCUGAACCAGCCAAGUAGCGUGCAGGAUGACGGCCCUAUGGGUUGUAAACUGCUUUUGUACGGGAAUAAAGUGACCUACGUGUAGGUUUUUGCAUGUACCGUAAGAAUAAGGACCGGCUAAUUCCGUGCCAGCAGCCGCGGUAAUACGGAAGGUCCGGGCGUUAUCCGGAUUUAUUGGGUUUAAAGGGAGCGUAGGCCGUGCUUUAAGCGUGUUGUGAAAUGUAGGCGUCCAACGUCUGCACUGCAGCGCGAACUGGAGCACUUGAGUACGUAAGAGGCGGGCGGAAUUCGUCGUGUAGCGGUGAAAUGCUUAGAUAUGACGAAGAACUCCGAUUGCGAAGGCAGCUCGCUGGGCCGCAACUGACGCUGAAGCUCGAAGGUGCGGGUAUCAAACAGGAUUAGAUACCCUGGUA
rnacentral:rRNA from 1 species